AGUCGAGCGAGCUUGCCUAGAUGAUUUUAGUGCUUGCACUAAAUGAAACUAGAUACAAGCGAGCGGCGGACGGGUGAGUAACACGUGGGUAACCUGCCCAAGAGACUGGGAUAACACCUGGAAACAGAUGCUAAUACCGGAUAACAACACUAGACGCAUGUCUAGAGUUUGAAAGAUGGUUCUGCUAUCACUCUUGGAUGGACCUGCGGUGCAUUAGCUAGUUGGUAAGGUAACGGCUUACCAAGGCAAUGAUGCAUAGCCGAGUUGAGAGACUGAUCGGCCACAUUGGGACUGAGACACGGCCCAAACUCCUACGGGAGGCAGCAGUAGGGAAUCUUCCACAAUGGACGAAAGUCUGAUGGAGCAACGCCGCGUGAGUGAAGAAGGGUUUCGGCUCGUAAAGCUCUGUUGGUAGUGAAGAAAGAUAGAGGUAGUAACUGGCCUUUAUUUGACGGUAAUUACUUAGAAAGUCACGGCUAACUACGUGCCAGCAGCCGCGGUAAUACGUAGGUGGCAAGCGUUGUCCGGAUUUAUUGGGCGUAAAGCGAGUGCAGGCGGUUCAAUAAGUCUGAUGUGAAAGCCUUCGGCUCAACCGGAGAAUUGCAUCAGAAACUGUUGAACUUGAGUGCAGAAGAGGAGAGUGGAACUCCAUGUGUAGCGGUGGAAUGCGUAGAUAUAUGGAAGAACACCAGUGGCGAAGGCGGCUCUCUGGUCUGCAACUGACGCUGAGGCUCGAAAG
rnacentral:rRNA from 1 species